ensembl:antisense Gm44963 predicted gene 44963
GACAGACAUCAAAACCAGGACGCUGAGGAAGGCCACUGCAGCCACCAGGAGGAGUCCUGAGGCUUUCACUAUGUAGUCCUGCCUAGCCUAGAGCUCCAUACAUAGACCACAGAGAUCCACCUGUGUCUGCCCUGAGUGCUGGGAUUAUAGGCCUAUACUACCACACCCGACCCUUGGGAGUCUUUCAAUGAAGAGGAUCCUGAAUUUAAGGAUGCGAGAAGUGGAGACUCCAGGGCUACCGGUUAUGGAUCUUGAGGCAAGAAUGGCUGUGGAUGGGGAGUGCCUGGGAGGAACACACCGAAACCGCAGGAGGAUCUUGGAGUCAGCACCUGUGCCCAGACGCAUGGAUGACAGAGCAGAAACUGAAGUCACGUGGGGGAGACACAGACACAUGAACAGUCAGUGCCUGUAGUCACCUGGCAGAGACAUGUGAGAACAGCAGCAAGCAUCUCAGGCAGGCUUCCAGAGUGCGUGAGUGAGCAGGGGCUUUGGGAAGUCUCUCUUUGAUGGCUCCAGUCUCCCUUUCUUAGUGAUUAAGAGCAGGGCCACAGCAUAGAACGGAACCCUAACGGGGCAGGGGUGGGGGCAGAUACCAACCCCUGGGCAGUUCAAUCAGUCUCCCUGAGAUUUUGUCUGUUGUGUGUCUUUGAAGAGCCAACUUCAUUGACAAACUGAACUUUAUGGGCCCAAGGACUGAGCACAUCUUCCUCCUGAUAGUAAUGGUUGAAUAAAUGCAUAAAGUCAA